rnacentral:misc_RNA from 1 species
GAAAUGCGAUAAGUAAUGUGAAUUGCAGAAUUCAGUGAAUCAUCGAAUCUUUGAACGCACCUUGCGCUCCUUGGUAUUCCUUGGAGCAUGCCUGUUUGAGUAUCAUGAAAUCUUCAAAGUAAAUCUUUUGUUAACUCAAUUGGUUUCUACUUUGGUAUUGGAGGUCUUUGCAGCUUCACACCUGCUCCUCUUUGUUCAUUAGCUGGAUCUCAGUGUUAUGCUUGGUUCUACUCGACGUGAUAAGUUAUCUAUCGCUGAGGACACUGUAAAAGGUGGCCAAGGUAAAUGCAGAUGAACCGCUUCUAAUAGUCCAUUGACUUGGACAAUACUUUUAUGAUCUGAUCUCAAAUCAGGUAGGACUACCCGCUGAACUUAAGC